rnacentral:rRNA from 1 species
UACGGAAGGCAGCAGUGGGGAAUAUUGCACAAUGGGCGCAAGCCUGAUGCAGCCAUGCCGCGUGUAUGAAGAAGGCCUUCGGGUUGUAAAGUACUUUCAGUCGUGAGGAAGGUGUUAAGGUUAAUAACCUUAGCAAUUGACGUUAGCGACAGAAGAAGCACCGGCUAACUCCGUGCCAGCAGCCGCGGUAAUACGGAGGGUGCGAGCGUUAAUCGGAAUUACUGGGCGUAAAGGGCACGCAGGCGGUUAAUUAAGUUGGAUGUGAAUCCCCGGGCUUAACCUGGGAAUGGCAUUCAAGACUGGUUAGCUAGAGUCUUGUAGAGGGGGUAGAAUUCCGAUGUGUAGCGGUGAAAUGCGUAGAGAUGUGGAGGAAUACCGGUGCGAAGGCGGCCCCUGGCAAAGACUGACGCUCAUGUGCGAAAGCGUGGGGAGCAAACGAGGAUUAGAUACC